rnacentral:misc_RNA from 2 species
AAUCCGAGAAUUUCACCUCUGACAGUCAAAUACGAAUGCCCCCAACUGUUCCUAUUGAUCAUUACCCCAGUUCUAUAAACCAACAAAAUAGAACAAGGGUCCUAUCGUAUUAUUCCAUGCUAAUGUAUUCAAGCAAUUGCCUGCUUGGAACACUCUAAUUUUCUCAAAGUAAAUGUGCCAACCCAAAACCUACACAGUUAAGUGUACAGCUGUGCGUCAGCAUAAUGCUGAAGACCGACCACAUGCUCACCUGUGCGGCGGACGGGCCGUCUUCAACAAAAAUCCAACUACGAGCUUUUUAACAGCAACAACUUUAAUAUACGCUAUUGGAGCUGGAAUUACCGC